UACGAAGGGUGCUAGCGUUGUUCGGAAUCACUGGGCGUAAAGGGCGCGUAGGCGGCUUUCCAAGUCAGAGGUGAAAUCCUGAGGCUCAACCUCAGAAUUGCCUUUGAAACUGGAGAGCUUGAGUAUUGGAGGGGAUAGCGGAAUUCCUAAUGUAGAGGUGAAAUUCGUAGAUAUUAGGAGGAACACCGGUGGCGAAGGCGGCUAUCUGGACAAUAACUGACGCUGAGGCGCGAAAGCGUGGGGAUCAAACAGG
rnacentral:rRNA from 1 species